GAACUCCACAUCCGCAUCCUUUGCUGAGGAUACGGUUAACGGAGCGAAAGCGACGUUCAACCGCAAAACAAGCAGAGGGGGCUUAGUGGUGGGGUGACUGCGUACCUUUUGUAUAAUGGGUCAGCGACUUAUAUUCUGUAGCAAGGUUAACCGAAUAGGGGAGCCGGAGGGAAACCGAGUCUUAAUUGGGCGUUAAGUUGCAGGGUAUAGACCCGAAACCCGGUGAUCUAGCCAUGGGCAGGUUGAAGGUUGGGUAACACUAACUGGAGGACCGAACCGACUAAUGUUGAAAAAUUAGCGGAUGACCUGUGGCUGGGGGUGAAAGGCCAAUCAAACCGGGAGAUAGCUGGUUCUCCCCGAAAGCUAUUUAGGUAGCGCCUCGUGAAUUCAUCUCCGGGGGUAGAGCACUGUUUCGGCUAGGGGGCCAUCCCGGCUUACCAACCCGAUGCAAACUGCGAAUACCGGAGAAUGUUAUCACGGGAGACACACGGCGGGUGCUAACGUCCGUCGUGAAGAGGGAAACAACCCAGACCGCCAGCUAAGGUCCCAAAGUCAUGGUUAAGUGGGAAACGAUGUGGGAAGGCCCAGACAGCCAGGAUGUUGGCUUAGAAGCAGCCAUCAUUUAAAGAAAGCGUAAUAGCUCACUGGUCGAGUCGGCCUGCGCGGAAGAUGUAACGGGGCUAAACCAUGCACCGAAGCUGCGGCAGCGACGCUGAUGCGUUGUUGGGUAGGGGAGCGUUCUGUAAGCCUGUGAAGGUGUGUCGUGAGGCAUGCUGGAGGUAUCAGAAGUGCGAAUGCUGACAUAAGUAACGAUAAAGCGGGUGAAAAGCCCGCUCGCCGGAAGACCAAGGGUUCCUGUCCAACGUUAAUCGGGGCAGGGUGAGUCGACCCCUAAGGCGAGGCCGAAAGGCGUAGUCGAUGGGAAACGGGUUAAUAUUCCCGUACUUGGUGUUACUGCGAAGGGGGGACGGAGAAGGCUAUGUUGGCCGGGCGACGGUUGUCCCGGUUUAAGCGUGUAGGUGUGUGUUCCAGGUAAAUCCGGUUCACUUUAACACUGAGGCGUGAUGACGAGGCACUACGGUGCUGAAGCAACAAAUGCCCUGCUUCCAGGAAAAGCCUCUAAGCAUCAGGUAACAUCAAAUCGUACCCCAAACCGACACAGGUGGUCAGGUAGAGAAUACCAAGGCGCUUGAGAGAACUCGGGUGAAGGAACUAGGCAAAAUGGUGCCGUAACUUCGGGAGAAGGCACGCUGACACGUAGGUGAAGUGAUUUACUCACGGAGCUGAAGUCAGUCGAAGAUACCAGCUGGCUGCAACUGUUUAUUAAAAACACAGCACUGUGCAAACACGAAAGUGGACGUAUACGGUGUGACGCCUGCCCGGUGCCGGAAGGUUAAUUGAUGGGGUCAGCGCAAGCGAAGCUCCUGAUCGAAGCCCCGGUAAACGGCGGCCGUAACUAUAACGGUCCUAAGGUAGCGAAAUUCCUUGUCGGGUAAGUUCCGACCUGCACGAAUGGCGUAAUGAUGGCCAGGCUGUCUCCACCCGAGACUCAGUGAAAUUGAACUCGCUGUGAAGAUGCAGUGUACCCGCGGCAAGACGGAAAGACCCCGUGAACCUUUACUAUAGCUUGACACUGAACAUUGAGCCUUGAUGUGUAGGAUAGGUGGGAGGCUUUGAAGUGUGGACGCCAGUCUGCAUGGAGCCGACCUUGAAAUACCACCCUUUAAUGUUUGAUGUUCUAACGUGGACCCGUAAUCCGGGUUGCGGACAGUGUCUGGUGGGUAGUUUGACUGGGGCGGUCUCCUCCUAAAGAGUAACGGAGGAGCACGAAGGUUGGCUAAUCCUGGUCGGACAUCAGGAGGUUAGUGCAAUGGCAUAAGCCAGCUUGACUGCGAGCGUGACGGCGCGAGCAGGUGCGAAAGCAGGUCAUAGUGAUCCGGUGGUUCUGAAUGGAAGGGCCAUCGCUCAACGGAUAAAAGGUACUCCGGGGAUAACAGGCUGAUACCGCCCAAGAGUUCAUAUCGACGGCGGUGUUUGGCACCUCGAUGUCGGCUCAUCACAUCCUGGGGCUGAAGUAGGUCCCAAGGGUAUGGCUGUUCGCCAUUUAAAGUGGUACGCGAGCUGGGUUUAGAACGUCGUGAGACAGUUCGGUCCCUAUCUGCCGUGGGCGCUGGAGAACUGAGGGGGGCUGCUCCUAGUACGAGAGGACCGGAGUGGACGCAUCACUGGUGUUCGGGUUGUCAUGCCAAUGGCACUGCCCGGUAGCUAAAUGCGGAAGAGAUAAGUGCUGAAAGCAUCUAAGCACGAAACUUGCCCCGAGAUGAGUUCU
rnacentral:rRNA from 1 species